UACAGAGGUGGCAAGCGUUGUUCGGAAUUACUGGGCGUAAAGCGUGCGUAGACGGUUAUUUAAGUCGGGUGUGAAAGCCCCGGGCUCAACCUGGGAAUUGCAUUCGAGACUGAAUAGCUAGGGUGCGGAAGAGGGAAGCGGAAUUUCCGGUGUAGCGGUGAAAUGCGUAGAUAUCGGAAGGAACACCAGUGGCGAAAGCGGCUUCCUGGUCCAGCACCGACGUUCAGGCACGAAAGCGUGGGGAGCAAACAGG
rnacentral:rRNA from 1 species